GUCCGGGUAGCGCAGUGGUUAACGGAACAGCCUAGUAAGCAGGAGGUCCCGGGUUCGAAUCCCGGUCCGGCGCACA